rnacentral:rRNA from 1 species
CCUACGGGUGGCAGCAGUGGGGAAUAUUGCACAAUGGGGGAAACCCUGAUGCAGCGACGCCGCGUGAGCGAAGAAGUAUUUCGGUAUGUAAAGCUCUAUCAGCAGGGAAGAAAAUGACGGUACCUGAGUAAGAAGCUCCGGCUAAAUACGUGCCAGCAGCCGCGGUAAUACGUAGGGGGCAAGCGUUAUCCGGAUUUACUGGGUGUAAAGGGGGCGCAGACGGCAAUGCAAGCCAGGAGGGAAAGCCCGGGGCCCAACCCCGGGACUGCACUUGGAACUGCAUGGCUGGAGUGCAGGAGGGGCAGGCGGAAUUCCUAGUGUAGCGGUGAAAUGCGUAGAUAUUAGGAGGAACACCGGUGGCGAAGGCGGCCUGCUGGACUGUGACUGACGUUGAGGCCCGAAGGCGUGGGGAGCAAACAGGAUUAGAUACCCUGGUAGUC